rnacentral:rRNA from 1 species
AAACCGUUGAAAGGGAAGCGAAUGGAGUUAGCAAUUCGCCCUGCCAGAUUCAGUUGCUCGUGCGCCGCGACGUGCGCGCUCUCGAUCCGCAUGGACGAGACGCGUGCGGGCGCGGCGCUCGGACGGCGCACUUCUGGCGGGCGAGCGUCAGCGUCGGUUGUCGACGGGCGAUAAGGACGCGAGGAAGGUGGAACGGCCCUCGGGCGGUUUGUUACAGCCUCGCGAUCGCAUAGCCCGACGGCGACCGUGGCUCCUGUGGAGGCGACGCGUGCCUAGCUGGCGACUCUGGCGAUCGGUCUGGCAUGUCGAUUGUGGCGGACGGCACGCCUGUGCGCUCGAACUGCUGCCGGUCGACCGUUGGAUGUUCGCACACUACGCGUCGAAGAUGCUGACGACCAUACGGCUCCAUCCGACCCGUCUUGAAACACGGACCAAGGAGUCUAACAUGUGCGCGAGUCUCCGGGUGAUCGAAACCCGUGGGCGCAAUGAAAGUAAAGAUCGUCCUAGACGAUUGAGGUGAGAAGCGAGUGCCUGUGUGCACGAGCCGCAUCAUCGACCGACCUAUUCUGCUCUCAGAGAGGUUUGAGUAAGAGCGUAUCUGUUGGGACCCGAAAGAUGGUGAACUAUGCCUGAAUAGGGUGAAGCCAGCGGAAACACUGGUGGAAGCUCGUAGCGAUUCUGACGUGCAAAUCGAUCGUCGAAUUUGGGUAUAGCGGCGAAAGACUAAUCGAACCAUCUAGUAGCUGGUUCCCUCCGAAGUUUCCCUCAGGAUAGCUGGAGUUCAUGUUGAUUGCAGU